UACCGUUUGGAGAUGAGCUCGCGUCAGAUUAGCUAGUUGGUGGGGUAAGAGCCUACCAAGGCGACGAUCUGUAGCUGGUCUGAGAGGAUGAUCAGCCACACUGGGACUGAGACACGGCCCAGACUCCUACGGGAGGCAGCAGUGGGGAAUUUUCCGCAAUGGGCGCAAGCCUGACGGAGCAAGACCGCGUGGGGGAUGACGGCCUAAUGGUUGUAAACCCCUUUUCUCUGGGAAGAAGACUGACGGUACCAGAGGAAUCAGCCUCGGCUAACUCCGUGCCAGCAGCCGCGGUAAUACGGAGGAGGCAAGCGUUGUCCGGAAUUAUUGGGCGUAAAGCGUCCGUAGGUGGUUAUUCAAGUCUGCUGUCAAAGCGUGGGGCUCAACUCCAUAGAGGCAGUGGAAACUGAGUGACUAGAGUGCGGUAGGGGUCGAGGGAAUUCCCAGUGUAGCGGUGAAAUGCGUAGAUAUUGGGAAGAACACCAGUGGCGAAAGCGCUCGACUGGGACUGCACUGACACUGAG
rnacentral:rRNA from 1 species